AAGAAACUUUGUCUUUCUUGGCAAGAAAAUGAAGCCACCAUCAAUUCUGGAAACAGCACCACUUCUUGAAGAUCUGGAAAGGGUUGUACAGCCUUGUAUGGACAGUGAAAGAACCGCUGUGUUACUCAAAAUACUGGCUUUUACCCACAGUCAUCUUCCGAAGGUGCUGACAUUCACUAAUUCAGGAGAUGAGGCAGAAAUGGUUCAUCGGGUGAGCAUCAUUUUACACAGGAUUCUUCUGUAGACCAAGAGAUCACAAAGGCACA